UACGAAGGGGGCUAGCGUUGUUCGGAAUUACUGGGCGUAAAGCGCGUGUAGGCGGCUUUAUAAGUCGAAUGUGAAAGCCCUUGGCUUAACCAAGGAAGUGCAUUCGAUACUGUAGAGCUUGAGUGCCGGAGGGGAUGGCGGAAUUCCUGGUGUAGAGGUGAAAUUCGUAGAUAUCAGGAAGAACACCAAUGGCGAAAGCAGCUUUCUGGGACGGUACUGACGCUGAGACGCGAAAGCGUGGGGAGCGAACAGG
rnacentral:rRNA from 1 species